UGGCGUAUUCAAAAUAGCAACAUCAACAUCAGUAAUUUAGAGAGGUAUACAAACAAAGAGUAGAUGCACACAUCGUCGCAAGCCACACCUAUUUUCUCCGUUUACACUACGUCAAAUGCCGUGGCUGUAUGGUUAAAAAAGUCCUCGACUUCAUGAAUAUUUAUGUUCAUUAGUCAACCAAUCGGUGAGCUUCCACGAAUUGUUUUGGUGGAAAGAAAAUCAGUUGGAGGCCAUUACGUGCUUGUAGCGGAAUAAUCAGAGGAUUGCGGAUUCAAAACAAACUGGACACUUUUUGAGCCGUUGUAACUAAUGGACGCUUCUUUGUUGACUUCACUGUUGUAAUAAAUGUAUCAUAUAAUAUUCGUAACCACGCCGCUCACUUUAGAUAAUUGUCCGAUCAACUCUAGUCUUCCAGAUUUCAACACAUCUACUUUACCCCGAAUUUCCUCAUCAAGUUUGAGAAUAUGAUUAAGUGUAUUAACACAGAAUUUACACGCGUAACCACUGCUGUUAAUGCUAAUUUCAUUUAAUAGUUACUUAUAAACUGUACUUGCUUCGGUAAAGAGGGAUCUGCCGCCUUUGUCCGUUAUUACUUUGGAGUGCAUCAGAUAUUGGAGAUAAAAAAUUAGAGUGUCAAACACCUGCCGGUGACUUGACUUCAUAUGUAUUCUGAAACGUUAUAAUCAUCAGACCCAUUAAGUUACAACGAUCAAUAAACCACAUGUCUUACUCUUCCACUAGUGCAACUGCUGCAGGAUCGUACACGUAAUCCACCUCAAAGUCCCCGAGGGCAUUAGUGCUCCUUGCACUUAGAAUUGUUGUGAUAAUCAUCGUGUCCAGUGUAUUAGAUUUGUCUGUCAAAGCUUUCACGACUUCUUCUUCUUGCAAUGGAGUCUGAAAUUUCAGUUUGUAAUGUCUUACUCCCAAAUGCUAUAAAAGAUUGAAGACAAUUUUGCAAUAUAUUCUGUAAAAACAAAGGAGAAAUAUAAUACACUUAUACUGAGCAACUGUUCGUUUAGAAAGUCAUGGAUGUAUAUUCAUUAUUAAAUUUAGUCAUUUCUGGAACUGUUCUUUUGUUAAGUAGUGCAGUGCUUAGAUAUCCAAGAAGAUUCGAAACAAGAGGCCCAUUGGCCACAUCGCUCAAUAAGUCACCUUAGCCCAUAUUUAAAGAUUUUCCCUAUAUAUAUAUACUCCCAUGUAAAACUUUGAUCCAUUUUAUGGCACCAGCCUACCCCCAGGGGCCAUGAUUUUAACAAACUUGAAUCUGAACUACGACAGGAAGCUUUCAUGUAAAUGUACACUCUUCUGGCACAGUAGUUCUUGAGAAGAAUGUUUUUAAAGAUUUGCCCUAUACAUGUAUAUCUAUAUGUAAAAUUUGGUCCCCUAUUGUGGCCUCACCCUACCCUCCGGGGCCAUGAUGUUAACAAACUUGAAUCUGCAUUAUUUCA